GAUGAACGCUGGCGGCGUGCCUAAUACAUGCAAGUCGAGCGAACGGACGAGAAGCUUGCUUCUCUGAUGUUAGCGGCGGACGGGUGAGUAACACGUGGAUAACCUACCUAUAAGACUGGGAUAACUUCGGGAAACCGGAGCUAAUACCGGAUAAUAUUUUGAACCGCAUGGUUCAAAAGUGAAAGACGGUCUUGCUGUCACUUAUAGAUGGAUCCGCGCUGCAUUAGUUAGUUGGUAAGGUAACGGCUUACCAAGGCAACGAUGCAUAGCCGACCUGAGAGGGUGAUCGGCCACACUGGAACUGAGACACGGUCCAGACUCCUACGGGAGGCAGCAGUAGGGAAUCUUCCGCAAUGGGCGAAAGCCUGACGGAGCAACGCCGCGUGAGUGAUGAAGGUCUUCGGAUCGUAAAACUCUGUUAUUAGAGAAGAACAUAUGUGUAAGUAACUGUGCACAUCUUGACGGUACCUAAGCAGAAAGCCACGGCUAACUACGU
rnacentral:rRNA from 1 species